UACGUAGGUGGCAAGCGUUGUCCGGAAUCAUUGGGCGUAAAGCGCGCGCAGGCGGUCCUUUAAGUCUGAUGUGAAAUCUUGCGGCUCAACCGUAAGCGGUCAUUGGAAACUGGGGGACUUGAGUGCAGGAGAGGAAAACGGAAUUCCAUGUGUAGCGGUGAAAUGCGUAGAGAUAUGGAGGAACACCAGUGGCGAAGGCGGCUUUCUGGCCUGUAACUGACGCUGAGGCGCGAAAGCGUGGGGAGCAAACAGGAUUAGAUACCCGGGUA
rnacentral:rRNA from 1 species